CGGAAGUGAGGACGCCCCAGCUCUGGGAGACGUCCCACGAGCCGGCUUUUGUCAGGAGGACCCGGCAGGUGACAGUCAAAGAGAUCUGACUGUGACUUGACUUCGGAGGUCGUGUUCGGCUGCCUAUUUAAGUAUAGGCAUGGACAAGUGUGCUUAGAUGUGUUAGUGUCUGUUGUCUGUAUUCUGUUUCUGUGUUUGGUAUCCCAGAAGCAGCUAAGGUUAAGCUGCAGUUUGGGCCAGGUACUGAAGGUACCAGGCAUCUGUGGAAAUUGGUUAUAGGAUGCUUUGUCUUGGUCUUGUUUGUCUGGUUUGUUUUCUGUGGUAUUGUCCAGUGUCUUUUUGGCUUUUGUUUCGUUUUUGGACUUGGACUGACAACUGUGUUUGAAAUCUUGGACUGACGACUGUGUUUGAAAUCAUGAAACUGCUUUGUUUGUCAAGGAGUUUUACUUGGUCCUCUUGGUGCUUAACUUAAAAGUUAAAAAUAAUUUGCUUGAGAGAAAUUGUUUUCUGCUGGGGAGUUUUAUCUUUCUCUCUUGAGCCUCCUCCCCAAGGAGAGCUGCCCCUCUCUUUACUCCCAUUGUCCAGCCCAGCUGCUGUUAACUGUUGUGUAUGAAGGACUCCAGGUUAGCGAGUGAUCCGUCUGAAGCAGGCAUUAACAAGAACCUGAAAGCUUUACCUUAGAUCCUGAAGAAAAAUUCUCCCUGUGGCUUAAACAUUCACAGCUUCUAAGGAAGGGACAACACAGAGUAGGAAAAUGUAGAGGCUGAGGGUGGCAAGCAUGCAGGCCUACUAGCAAGCUACAGGCUGCGCAUGGGCAACAGCGCAGCUCUGGCCAAGUCAGCGCAAGAGGAGUUUCAAGGUAAGGAGGCUGGCUGGGGUUGGCACUUUGACAACAAAGAUAGCGUAGAGUUAGUGGUUGUAUUUUGGCCCUGAAAAAAAAAAUUCCAGUUGCUGCUUUCAGUGGCCAGACUUUCAACACUUGCUCACAAAAGGAGAGUGUUCAUUAAGAGAAGUUCUUUAAGGGAGCCUGCCUUAUCUGCUGGCCCUAUUCCAAGAGAGGAGUUGAUCUCCAACAUUAAGUAACCUUCCCUGUUAGUCAUCAUUGACAUGGAGAGUGCCUUUGAUCCUAUCCCCACAGCAGCCAGUUCCUGCCCCUGUGGUCAAAAUGCCCCAGGUUGGGGGGCAGAGAAGCCCCUAAAAUAGUUUCAAAGAAUCUGCAACAAACUGUGAAGAACUUUGUUUUGCCAGUCAAAAUUUAGAAUUCAGUCUUUGGCUGUGGCCAAGGUCAGGAUUAAUGUUUUCUUUUCCAUGGGCCUUUAACCCAGUGAGACAGCUUGGUAAAGGACUACUACUACAGUCCUGAUAGCCCCAGGUGAACUGGUUACAAUUCUUUUGUCAGCCACUUAGUAUCUAACACCCAGGUUCUAACCCUCUCUCCAUCCUUUUGUUAUUAGUUCUUACUAGAAGCCUAGUGUCCUUCAGAGGCUGGGUUUAUUGAGAGACAGAGCCACUGAGCUGACACUGAAGGGAGGUACUUCUUAAGUAAAAUCUAAGUCCAGAGAGAUAGUCGAUAACAGAUCAGCUGCCUCUCUGCUUGCCUUUCUGUUUCACAGGAACAAAGCUUGUGCUUAUUUCUACAACGGCCUUUUUGUCCCAAGAAGGCCUCCUGGUUUAGCUGUGUGACUAAAUGCUAUUUGUCCUCUUCAGUGGACCUCUAUUCUCAAGAUUCCCUUGUUUUCUCACCAUCCCAUUUGAGAUGCUUGUUAGUAACUGUUACAGGUCUUCUUUACCACUGAGGAAAGACGGAAUCCUACUAGAGGCCAGAAAAAAAUGUUCCAGACACGGAUGGAAGGCCCUCACUUCUGCCUAUUGACUUCAAAACGCCUAAAGGUAGGGAGUGCCAGGUCUGCCGCCAGGCUCCAAGGGUGGGUCUCAGAGGGGCUAGAAAAUGCCCCACCAAUUUGGCUAAAGUAAGAAAAAAAUAUAAAGAAAAAGUUACAGAAACUUGAAGGGUUAAGCUAAGUCACUGAGAGAGUUGUUGUAAGUUGCAGAGAAAAUAAGGUUGAUAUAUGGUUCAGGGUCGGUGCACAAAAGUAGACAGCAACUAAUAGCUGUAGAAGAAGAUACAGACAGAGAGACUGAGGAAGAGAAAGAGACAAGAGAGGAACAUAUACUGGCCACAGUAGUUAGGGAACCUAGGAAGAUAGUACCUGGCAACAGAAGAGAAUUCCUGGCUAAAGAUCGGUGUGCCUAAUACGAAGAAAAAGGACACUGGGUCAGGGACUGCCCAAGAAAGAACAAGAGGGGCCACUGGAGAGCUUCUUGGUCCUAGAGUGCUGGCUAUGUACAGAGAUAGAAGGGAAGUGUGGAUACAGGGACCCAAUGCUCUGUGCUCCUAUGCCCCCCCCCCAGUGGGUCAAUAUCCAAAGACCUUGAGUGCAAGGGGCUACUGGCAACGAACAAUACUUAUGGACUGCCCGAAGAACAGUGGACCUUGGCGUGGGCCGGGUAACCCACCCACUAGUUCAUGGUCAUCCCUGACUGCCCCUAUCCCUUGCUCAUGAGAAAAUUGCUCUCCAAAAUGGCUUGUGUGGGCUAAAAUGGCUGGGUGAGGCCAUGUGUAUGCAUAUCUACAGACUGUGUAUGUGGAGCUUAAGACCUGUCUCAGUGCACCAGUACCUGAUGCUGGGAGAUGUGUGUGUGUGGCUUAGUGCCGUUCUGCCUGGAACACAUCAUUCCUGCCAGCCGGGCUCUGACAAUUAUCACCCAAUCCAGGACUUAAACUGCAGUAGAGUGGCUGAUGUUUUGCCUUUAAAUGAAAUGUCCCAGAGGAUGGGAUCACUGAUCAGCUGACAUGGACUAGAUUCUCCACCUGUUGGGGGCAAUCUGGUCACCUUGCUGCCCUAUCCUGACCUGGAGCCACCACAGCACAAGUGUCAAGCACUGGCAGAAGCCCAUGGGUGGAGGAAAGACCUCUGCGACUAGCUGAUUGACCCUUGCUGAAAGCCGAGGACCUUGUCCACAGACGGGAACAGUUCUCUUCAUGAAGGUCAGAGAUAAGUGGGUGCUGCCGUGGUGGACAACACAAUGUCAUCUGGGAUGGCUGAACUUCUACCCCCCAGCACAUCAGCGCUGCAGAUGCCUUUACCAUCUCUUGGAUGCCCUGGUGAAGCCAACAACUGCCUACAAGAGACAGCCACUGGGAACUGGGAUUGGACUAAGAGACGGCCUCUACAAUCAUCAAGAAGAUACUGGAAGAAAUCUUUCCCCCGAUUUGGAAUGCCCAAGGUAAUCUGGUCAGACAAUGGCCCUACUUUCGUUGCCAAGGUAAGCCAGGGUGUGGCCAAGUAUUUAGAGGUUGAUUGAAAAUUACAUUAUAUUUACAGACCUCAAAGUUCAGGACAGGUAGAGUAAAUAAAUAAAACUCUAAAAGAGACCCUGACCAAAUUAAAUUGACCAUGGAGACUGGCGCAGACUGGGUGACACUCCUUCCCUCUCGCUCUCUUCAGAGCAAGAAAUACCCCUUCCAGAUUCAGCUUUACCCCCUUUGAGAUCUUAUAUGGGGCCUCAGAUCCUCUGACUGUAUUAGAUGAUGUUAGUGAACCAACAUGUCAUAGUAAUAAUGAUUUAUGUGUCAGGCUAAAA